UACGUAGGGUGCAAGCGUUGUCCGGAAUUAUUGGGCGUAAAGAGCUCGUAGGCGGUUCGUCGCGUCGGCUGUGAAAACCUGAGGCUCAACCUCAGGCCUGCAUUCGAUACGGGCAGGCUGGAGUUCGGCAGGGGAGACUGGAAUUCCUGGUGUAGCGGUGAAAUGCGCAGAUAUCAGGAGGAACACCGGUGGCGAAGGCGGGUCUCUGGGCCGAUACUGACGCUGAGGAGCGAAAGCGUGGGGAGCGAACAGG
rnacentral:rRNA from 1 species